rnacentral:misc_RNA from 1 species
AAGUCGUAACAAGGUAACCGUAGGUGAACCUGCGGUUGGAUCAUCCGAGAGAGUGGCACACGCAGUGUUACACGCAGUGUGUCGCUCAUAAUAGUUAGUGACUUGUAUCUUUUCUCGUUCUUUUCAGUGAAUCACAGAAAAGAGAGAGAGAGACACGUUCACUUGCAAACACCAAUUCCAGCGAAACGCACAUUUUCUCUGAAAAGAGAGAGAGAAGCACCAAUCUCAAUAACACUAAAACAUGACAAAGAAAGAAACAGAAAUAACUUUUGACAAUGGAUCUCUUGGUUCUC